rnacentral:tRNA from 1 species
GCCACGGUGGUCUAGCGGUCAGAACGCUGGCCUUGUAAUCCUGGGGUCUCGGGUUCGAUUCCCGGCUGUGCCC